rnacentral:rRNA from 2 species
GGACUACCAGGGUAUCUAAUCCCGUUUGCUCCCCUGGCCUUCGUGCCUCAGUGUCAGGAACUGUCCAGAGACCCGCCUUCGCCACUGGUCUUCCUUACGAUCUCUACGCAUUUCACUGCUACACCGUAAAUUCCAGUCUCCUCUCCAGUCCUCAAGCACCGCAGUAUCAAAUGCAGUUUCGAGGUUAAGCCUCGAAAUUUCACACCUGACUUACAGCGCCACCUACGCACCCUUUACGCCCAAUGAAUCCGAACAACGCUUGAGACCUCUGUAUUACCGCGGCGGCUGGCAC